rnacentral:rRNA from 1 species
AUGAACGCUGGCGGUAUGCUUAACACAUGCAAGUCGAACGGUCUCUUCGGAGAUAGUGGCGGACGGAUGAGUAACGCGUGAGAAUCUGUCUUCAGGUCGGGGACAACCACUGGAAACGGUGGCUAAUACCGGAUGUGCCUUUGGGUGAAAGAUUAAUUGCCUGGAGAUGAGCUCGCGUCUGAUUAGCUAGUAGGUGUGGUAAGAGCGCACCUAGGCGACGAUCAGUAGCUGGUCUGAGAGGAUGAUCAGCCACACUGGGACUGAGACACGGCCCAGACUCCUACGGGAGGCAGCAGUGGGGAAUUUUCCGCAAUGGGCGAAAGCCUGACGGAGCAAUACCGCGUGAGGGAGGAAGGCUCUUGGGUUGUAAACCUCUUUUCUCAAGGAAGAACACAAUGACGGUACUUGAGGAAUCAGCAUCGGCUAACUCCGUGCCAGCAGCCGCGGUAAUACGGAGGAUGCAAGCGUUAUCCGGAAUGAUUGGGCGUAAAGCGUCCGCAGGUGGCUUUGUAAGCCUGCUGUUAAAGAGUGAGGCUCAACCUCAUAAAAGCAGUGGAAACUACAAGGCUAGAGUACGUUCGGGGCAGAAGGAAUUCCUGGUGUAGCGGUGAAAUGCGUAGAGAUCAGGAAGAACACCGGUGGCGAAAGCGUUCUGCUAGGCCGUAACUGACACUGAGGGACGAAAGCUAGGGGAGCGAAUGGGAUUAGAUACCCCAGUAGUCCUAGCCGUAAACGAUGGAUACUAGGCGUGGCUUGUAUCGACCCGAGCCGUGCCGGAGCUAACGCGUUAAGUAUCCCGCCUGGGGAGUACGCACGCAAGUGUGAAACUCAAAGGAAUUGACGGGGGCCCGCACAAGCGGUGGAGUAUGUGGUUUAAUUCGAUGCAACGCGAAGAACCUUACCAAGACUUGACAUGUCGCGAACCUUUGUGAAAGCAGAGGGUGCCUUCGGGAGCGCGAACACAGGUGGUGCAUGGCUGUCGUCAGCUCGUGUCGUGAGAUGUUGGGUUAAGUCCCGCGACGAGCGCAACCCUCGUUUUUAGUUGCCAGCAUUAAGUUGGGCACUCUAGAGAGACUGCCGGUGACAAACCGGAGGAAGGUGGGGAUGACGUCAAGUCAGCAUGCCCCUUACGUCUUGGGCUACACACGUACUACAAUGCUACGGACAAAGGGCAGCAAGCUAGUGAUAGCAAGCAAAUCUCAUAAACCGUAGCUCAGUUCAGAUCGCAGGCUGCAACUCGCCUGCGUGAGGUCGGAAUCGCUAGUAAUUGCAGGUCAGCAUACUGCAGUGAAUUCGUUCCCGGGCCUUGUACACACCGCCCGUCACACCAUGGAAGCUGGCAACGCCCGAAGUCAUUACUCCAACUGUUCGCAGAGGAGGAUGCCUAAGGCAGUGCUGGUGACUGGGGUG